rnacentral:misc_RNA from 1 species
UGCCCCUCACUUGCUACCACGUUUAGAUCAACCAGGGCGUAGGCAUGUGUAGCGUAUUUUGUCGGGUUUCGAGAUCAAGAAUCGAUGUCCCUUUGUUGGUUGGUUUUCCGAGAAUCCUUGACCCUUGAUUUGUUACUUUUGCAUCGUUCGGUGCAUUCUGGGGGAUGUUUUGGCUUUUGGUGGCUUACUUGGCCUUUUGGCUGGGUUUGUUGCUAUUGGUCGGGCGGCUUUCGGGAAUGUCGACCGUGGAGGUGCAUGAGUGGUGUUUGGUUUGUUACGUGUGGAUGGCUGUUUGCUUGCGCAACAACGUUCACGCUGCAUACCUCUUCAGUUUUGCGGCAAGGCUUGGUUUGGCUUGUGCAUAUUGUGGGUUUCCUGUGUUGCAUACCUAGUUGAAGGAAAAGUGUGGGUUUUACGAUUUUCAUUUUCGUCUUGCGUCGUUCUUUCGGCAUGGGAUGAGCAACGAAGCGAUCUUUAUGAUCCAUCGUGCUGUUGCGUUUGCAACAAUGAUGUGGCCUAUGAAGCAUCGUUUGGUCUCUUGUAUACGGAAGCUCAUUUGGGCUUGGGUCUUUAUAAGAUCUUCGUUACGCCCUUGUUAAGCGUUCUCGCUUCUCCUAAACGAUUG